AUUGAACGCUAGCGGCAGGCCUAACACAUGCAAGUCGAACGAAUGGCGGACGGGUGAGUAAUGUCUGGGAAACUGCCUGCUGGAGGGGGAUCACUACUGGCAACGGUAGCUAAUACCGCAUACCAUCAAAUGUGCCCAGAUGGGAUUAGCUAGUAGGUGGGGUAACGGCUCAACUAGGCGACGAUCCCUAUCUGGUCUGAGUGGAUGACCAGACACACUGGAACUGAGACCAGUGCCAGACUCCUAAGGGAGUCAGCGGUGGUGAAUAUUGCACAAUGGGCGCAAGCCUGAUGCAGCCAGGCCGCGUGUGGGAAGAAGGCCUUCGGGUUGUAAAGCACUUUCAGCGGGGAGGCGUUACCCGCAGAAGAAGCACCGGCUAACUCCGGGCCAGCAGCCGCGGUAAUUC
rnacentral:rRNA from 1 species